GGCAUGGCACUUGACCUUUCCUGGUUUCACCCGCAGUAUUUAAACUGGUGCAAAGGGAACACACUGGCAAGUGUCUUCUGUUGACAUGACAGAUUCUCCUGGUAGUUCACACAAUGUUCAAAAGGCACAAGUCCCUUGCUUCAGAACGCAAGAGAGAACUAUUUUCCCGAGGAGCUACACGGUCCAUCCUGAAGAAUGACUUGAGAAACUUCCACUGUUUGUCGCAUUUUGUGCUCUCAGCGGGCCCUCUAAAAUCAAUUCCAGUAGUUAAACAUUCAAAAACUACGCACUUUGAGAUUGAAGUACUUGAUGCUCAAACAAGAAAGCAGAUAUGUAUUGUGGAUAAGGUGAUACAAACAUCUACUAUUCAUGAUGUUAAACAAAAAUUCCACAAAGCAUGUCCGAAGUGGUACCCUUCUAGAGUUGGCCUGCAGCUAGAACGAGGUGGGCCCUUUUUGAAGGACUACAUAACCAUUCAAAGCAUUGCAACUUCCUCCAUUGUCACUCUCUAUUUUACAGACCUAGGUCAACAGGUCAGUUGGACUACAGUAUUUUUGGCUGAAUACACAGGACCUUUGCUGAUAUAUCUCCUCUUUUAUUUGAGGAUCCCAUACAUAUAUGACAUGAAAGAGAGCUCUAGAAGAUUGCGCCACCCAGUGGUACAUGUGGCUUGCUUCUGUCAUUGUAUACACUAUAUCCGCUAUCUUUUGGAAACCUUAUUUGUCCAUAAAGUUUCUGCAGGACAUACACCUUUGAAAAAUUUGAUAAAGGGCUGUGCCUUUUAUUGGGGAUUUACUUCUUGGAUUGCCUACUAUAUUAAUCACCCACAGUAUACACCACCAUCAUUUGGAAACCGGCAAGUCACAAUAUCUGCUAUCAAUUUUUUGAUUUGUGAAGCUGGAAAUCAUUUCAUCAAUGUAAUUUUGUCUCAUCCUAAUCACACAGGAGUUAAUGCCUGUUUUCCAAGUCCAAAUUAUAACCCCUUCACAUGGAUGUUUUUUCUGGUUUCAUGUCCUAAUUACACCUAUGAGAUUGGAUCAUGGAUUAGUUUCACUGUCAUGACACAAACACUGCCAGUUGGGAUUUUUACACUUCUGAUGAGUAUCCAGAUGUCUUUGUGGGCACAAAAGAAGCAUAAGAUUUAUUUGAAGAAAUUCAAUUCUUAUAUGCAUAGAAAAUCAGCCAUGAUUCCAUUCAUACUAUAGUAAAAAUAACUUAUCUUAUCUCAUAUAUAUAAAAAUAGUAUAUAAAUUCACUAAAUCAAACUUGGUCAAUAGUUGAAUAUUAUGUAACAGAAAUUCAAAACAAACAGUACUUUUAUUGAAUAAAAAUAUUAAAUGGUAGAUUCUAGCUAACUUUAGAGUAAUAAACUUGAGGCAAAUAAAAAGUAGAAACUGUAGAUACGACUAAUAAAAGAUACAUCCAAAUAUUUUCAAGGGAUUGGUCUUUGAACAAGAUUUUUUUAUUUCAUUAAAUGUUUCAUAAUACUAUCUGCUUAAGACAAUUAAAAUAUCUGAAUUAUAAACUAAAAAUUUGUGAUUUUAAAUCACCUGAAUUUUACACAUUUUGAUGGUAAUUUAUUAUUUUCUUUAUUGUUUAGCAUGUUAUUGAAAAGUAUAAUAUGUCACAGUAGUAUUUCAAUUUCUAGUGAAAAUUCUGCCAAUAUUAAAAGUGAAACAUAAUUUCUCAUGAAUCAUAUUUAUUUAUUCAUACAUACAUUGUAUGUUGGCAUUCUGAAACUAUAAUUAAAAAUAUCUUCUAGACAUUAUUUACUAAAUCAUUUGAAUAUAUACUUUGUAUCAAAAUAUAUAUUUAUAUUUACAUAUAAAUUAUAUUUAUAUGUAAAUAUAUAUUGAAUUAUGUAUACUUCAAAUGGGCUAUAUGUGAUGACAACAUUGGAAAUUUUUUUUAAUUAAGAGUGGAAAUAUUUUUUGCUUUAUUUUUACAUAUUUAAAUUCCUAUGUCCUCUCAAACUUUGUUUGCAUAUAUGUAAGUAUGUAUGUGACUAUGCAUAUAUAUUUUGACAAAGAGAUGACUGAUGUUAUAAAAAUCAAGUACACAUUAGUUAAACAUUUUAAAGAAAUUCUGAGUUUCCUUAUUUUUAAACUGGGAUUUUUUAGAUUGGUUAAUUUCUGCAGCGUUCUAAGUUUUACAUAAUCAAAAUAUUCUAAUUAAAGUUCUUAGAUUAUAUACAUAUUUGUAAAAUGUUCUUGGUAAAUGUAGGUAUAUAUACCUUCUGUGGGUGUUUAUCAUUAAUAUAUGUAGCAAAUUAUUCAAGAAAUAACAAAAGCACCCCUUUGAAAAGCUCUGUUAUCUUCCCUAAAUAUAUAGUGAUAAAAUAUCUCAGAGGAAGACGCAUAGCUUUAAUUACCUAAUACCUAUUCAGCAAAAUAUCAUGGACUCAUUUGAAAGUAUUAACAGUAGGUACUAUGAAUUAACCACAUACACUGAAUGCAUCUAUGUUAUCAACCACCUGUGAUAAUCAUCCCUUUGUUGAAAGACAAAGAGUAGUUUAUGUUUUCUUAACUGGAUUCAGACUGAUGCCAGCUCAGGAACUUUGCAUAUUCUUAUAGGAUUAGAAGAUCUUUGACCAAUAAUUGCACUACUAGGCAUUUACCCAAAGAAUAUAAGAACACUAAUUCAAAGGGAUACGUAUACUCUUUUGUUUCCGCAGCAUUAUUUACAAUAACCAAGAUAUGAAACAACCCAAAUGUCCAUUGAUUGCUGAAUAAAGAUGUGGUAUAUACAUACAAUGGAAUACUCUUCAGCCAUAGCAAAGAGUGAAAUCAUCCAAUUUGCAAUGACAUGGAUGGAGAUAAGGGUAUUAUGCUAAGUGAAAUAAGUCAGUCAGAGAAAGACAUACCAUAUGAUUUCAAUCCUAUUGGGGCUUUAAGAAUGGGGGGGGGAGAGACAUAGAGAGAGAGAGAAAGAGACUCCUAAUUAUAGAGAACAAUCUGAUGGUUAUGGAAUGGGAUAGGCUAAGUAGAUGAUGGGGACUAAGAGGUGCACUUGUCAUGAUGAGCACAGGGUAAUGUAUGGAACUGUUGAAUUAUUAUAUUGUACACCUGAAACUAAUAUAACACUGUAUGUUAACUAUCUGGAAUUAAAAUUAAAAAAAAAAAACUUAAAACAAAACAAAAUACUUCCAUUUUUAUUACCCUAGGAUUUCAAAGCAGGCCAUAGGAUUUGUCCUUAGUGGACAAGAAUAAUAAUUGUUCUAAGUGGAUCAGUAGCUCAGCAGUCACACUGUUGUUCCUAAAGUCUUCUCAAAGGUGAGCAGAUAUGAUGCCUCAGCAAAUAGGAUACUGCACAAAUGAGAUGUUCAAGCAGCUAAGUUUAAUUGGAGAAAAACUUUUGAAAAUAAAAAAAUUUCUGCAGGUACAAUAUGUCUUAGCUUUUAUUUCUAUAUUUGGCAAAUGGAAACACGUAAAAUCAUGUAAAAACAUGUAAAAUUUCUUCUUUGAUAACUGACAGAGCAAUAUAGAAUUGCCUACCAACCCUUCAUGAUUAAUAAAAACAACAUAAAAAUAGCAUUCUAAGUUAUAUUUUCAUGGCUAUUCCAAAGUAAUGUAUAAUUUCUCCAAAUGUCCUCUACUUUCUGAUUUAACAAUCUAAAAAAUAAUUAGACAUUAAACAAAAUAAUUUGUUUAUAUAAUAUGCUGUCCCAAAUAUGUUUCUUUAUACCAUAGUCUCCCUGAGUGUCAAAAUUCUCACCUUAUAAGUAAAAUACACUUACAUCAUCAAAUUCUGAAAUUCUUGUGUAUUUUCAACAAUAGCGAUUUUUUUUUGUCAAGGUGAAGAUUCUGGGAAUAUAAAAAACUUAUACAUUCCCUGCUUUCAUAAAAAAAAGACAAAAGAGGCCCUAUUUCUGAUUUGAAUGAGGUAUGUAUAUACAUGAUAUCUUCAUAUAAGUGAUGUGAGUUUGGUCAAGGAGUUUUGUAGUUUGGGAAAUGGACACAUUUAAUGCUAUCAGUAGUUAUAUCAAUUGGGAAAUAAUUCUAAGAUGUUGCCACUUCACAACCAACUUUUCAUAAUCCACUUAUUGAUGAAUUUGUUAAAAAAAUAAAUGUCAGCUGUGGGCAAUCAUAAGAGGAAAAAAUGGGAAUAUGUAGUUCUGCUUUUUAUAUAGUUUACAUAUUUAGGACAUAACAAUUCAUUAAAAAUAUUUAGUAGAAUUAAUUGAAAUUAAUUAAAAUAAACAUACUAAAAAUAUUAUCCUUAUGUUUUAUUCUUUUAUUUACUGCGCUGUUUGGAUAUAAAGGAAUGGACAUUACCUCAAGCUGUAAAUUCAUGUUCAAAUUUUGGAACUGGGAACCUGAUUGACAUGAUCUGUCUUCUCUCAGGCCACUUCUCUAUUACAAUAUCUUAAAAUGCAUAUUCUUUCCAUUUCUAUCAUUUUUGCAGAACAUACCAUUUCUAAAAACAAAGCAAACACCCCUAAAGUCUGAACCUAAAAUAUAUCAUGAGGGUUAUAAAUCUUUUUUUCUGAGAAAUACAUAGAUCUAUAAAUUUGUGUCCAAUGAUAUCUUUAUAGAUUGGGUUAUUUAUUGGUUUAUUUGGUAUUUUAUAACUCCUCUGACACAUCUAGAUAUAAAUCAGUUUACAGGGUCUUUAGGAGAAUGAAUCUAUGCAAAGUAGACUAGACCAGAUUGGGCAAUGAGUCUCAUGUAACGUGUCCCUCCAUCAAAAAUAGAACUUACUAUAUCUUCAUUAAUAAAGGCCUCAUUCAAAACAAAGGCUGGAAAUAAACUUAAGCAGGGGUUCAAAAAUAUAAUCACGGAUUUCAGCUUCUAUUGUCCAGAUCAUUUAAUAAAAUGAUUAUUAUGAUCCCUACCAAACUAUAGCUUUGCACCUUCCAUUUGGAGUGUUUAAGAAUGGUAGCCAAUAAUAUAUUUAAAUUUAUGAAUGUAAUUAAUCUUAUGAAAGUAAAUAAAUUAACAUCAGAGUUUUCAGACUGAUACUGGAUUUGUGAUUACAUAUAAUACUUUAAAAAAUUAGACUUCACUUAAUCUAAUAAUUCCUCUAAUAGCUGCUUUUUUUAAAUAAUUCUGGAAUAAUACUUUCUCUGAUCCCAAAUAAAAUUUUGCAAAUACCACAUCUUUAUCUCUCACACAUUUCUUAUAAAAAGUAGCUAGAGAAAGAAAAUAAUCAGAGGAAAAACAACAAAAUUUAAAUCAGCUGCUAUGCUACUCCAUAUUAUCACAGCAUGCCUCUAUUCCCCACUCCUCAUCAUGUCUACCUCAAGCUGCUAUUUUAAAGGUGUUUCUGGUUUGUUUGCAUGUGUUUUUAAAAAAUGUUUUGGCUAAUUUUGAAUAAAAAUAGACCUGUAGUUCAUUUUUUCUUUUAGCAAGUUUUGUGUAAACAAAGUUAUUCUCUGACUCGUACACACACGCAAACACACACACACACACACACACACACACACACACACAUACACACAGAAAUUUUAAACAAUAUUUCUUAAGAGAAAGACUAUGUUGUGUCAAAUAAUUUUUAAGUAAAUUAAGCAUAUUCUUAUUUUUUUAAAUAUGCAUGUUUUAUCUUUUCUAUAGAAAUGUUAAGUCUAAUGUCUAAGAAUAGUCAAAUAUUAAAAUUCAAUGUUGUAGUUGAAUAUCUUGUAUACUGACAUUUAAUCUUCAGUAACUAAAUGCAUUUUAAAGAUAUUUUAAGUUCAAUUUUAAGUAACUGGCAUUCAGAACAUGUUAAGUUUUAGCAGCUGAUAUAUUUCAGUUAAAAUAUUUGUUCUCAUAAGAUGAAAUACAAUGACCUGUGAAUCAGUAGUAAGGGAUCUUUAUAUUUUUAUUUUAAUAAAAAAGAAAACCUUUAUAUUGCUCUUGGAUAUUAAAGGUGAUUACAGCAAAUGUUACUUUAUAAGCACAAUUAAAGGCAUUUAUGCAGCUUUUGCAUAAUGAUAAUAAUUAAAAACCAUUUAUUUUAAAGGCUGCUUAAAAGUUAAUUUUCACCCAGGUGCAUAUUGAAGCCUAUAAUUAGCCUUUCUUCAGAGGAGGUUUGGUUGAGGAAACACAUAAAGGCAUUUCCAAAGGCAGAAGUUCACUGCUAAAAUGGGAUUUUGUUUUUAACUUUAGUUUGAUAAUGGUGCUUAAAAUAUGUGAGAACAAAUGCUCCGAAAUACUUUAAAAAAUGAAUCUAUAACCAUCCCAGAUUGAUUUCAUUGAGAAGACAUAUAGAAGACCUAUUUUCAUAUAAUUUGUUUGGGAAAUGAAGUCCCAUAAGACUGCUACCUGGAAAAUUUUAUUAUUUACAACAAAUAUAAGAAAUUUUCAAAACAAUUACAAAGCAUAAUUUCCUAUGUAUCUCGUCAUUCUACUGGGCUGGAAAUCAAUGCUAUUUCUAUAAUAAAUUCUCACUUAACAAUUCAUUCUUCCUCUACUAGUGAUGUCCUACUUACUAUCCAUUCACCAGAUGGUGCAUUUUCUGAAAGCUCUCUCAUAUUUCCAGACAGAAUCUCCAAGUAGAGCAGACCAUCUCAGUUUGGAAGCACUUACAUAUUUAUUUCACAUCAGAAGAUUGAUACCUCUGAUAUACCUCUACUGGAGUCUUUAUUUUUCUGUCUUGUUCUAUAACAGUGAAGAGUAGAUCAUCCACCAAUUAUAAAAUUUAGCAAGUCCUGUUCUUAGGUCAAUCCAAUAAGCCUGAAGAAUAAAGAUCGGUUCUCUGCUUCAUUAGCAUGAGACAUCAUAA